rnacentral:lncRNA from 1 species
CGUUCUUAUGUUGUACUGUUAUACCACUGUCCCAGGUUAGGGGAGGGUUAGGAUCCCGCUAACAUGUUUAACCCCGCCACAUUAUUUAUGUAUGUGCCUGUCCCAAGUCAGGAGCCUGUAAUUCAGUGGUUGUCGUUUGUUUAUGUGUUACAUAUUUGUUUUUCGUUCAUUUUUUUUUUACAUAAAUAAGGCCGUUAGUUUUCUCGUUUGAAUUGUUUUACAUUGUCUUAUAGGGGCCUUUUAUAGCUCACUAUGCGGUAUGGGCUUUGCUCAUUGUUGAAGGCCGUACGGUGACCUAUAAGUGUUAAUGUCUGUGUUAUUUUGGUCUUUUGUGGAUA